rnacentral:rRNA from 1 species
UACGAAGGGGGCUAGCGUUGCUCGGAAUCACUGGGCGUAAAGGGUGCGUAGGCGGGUCUUUAAGUCAGGGGUGAAAUCCUGGAGCUCAACUCCAGAACUGCCAUUGAAACUGUUUAGCUGGAGUAUGAGAGAGGUGAGUGGAAUUCCCAGUGUAGAGGUGAAAUUCGUAGAUAUUGGGAAGAACACCGGUGGCGAAGGCGGCCCACUGGCUCAUUACUGACGCUCAUGCGCGACAGCGUGGGGAUCAAACAGG